rnacentral:rRNA from 1 species
AAUGAACGCUGGCGGCAGGCCUAAAACAUGCAAGUCGAACGCCCUGGCAAUAGGGAGUGGCGCACGGGUGAGUAACAUGUGGGAAUAUGCCUUUUGGUACGGAACAACGUUUGGAAACGAACGCUAAUACCGUAUGGUCCCUCCGGGGUAAAGAUUUAUCGCCAAAAGAUUAGCCCGCACUAGUUUAGCUAGUUGGUAAGGUAAUGGCUUACCAAGGCGACGUUCUAUAGCUGUUCUGAGAGGAAGAUCAGCCACACUGGGACUGAGACACGGCCCAGACACCUACGGGAGGCAGCGGUUAGGAAUAUUGGCCAAUGGGCGCAAGCCUGAUCCAGCCAUGCCGCGUGAGUGAUGAAGGCCUUCGGGUUGUAAAGCUCUUUAGCCGACGAAUAUAAUGACUGUAGUCGGAGAAUAAGCCCCGGCUAACUUCGUGCCAGCAGCCGCCGUAACAC